UGGGGAAUCUUGCACAAUGGGGGCAACCCUGAUGCAGCGACGCCGCGUGAGCGAUGAAGCCCUUCGGGGCGUAAAGCUCUUUCGACCGGAACGAUAAUGACGGUACCGGGAGAAGAAGCUGCGGCUAACUACGUGCCAGCAGCCGCGGUAAUACGGAGGAUCCGAGCGUUAUCCGGAUUUACUGGGUUUAGAGGGUGCGUAGGCGGCCCUGCAAGUCAGCGGUGAAAUGUGGCGGCUCAACCGUUUCGCUGCCGCUGAUACUGUAGGGCUUGGAUGCGGUCGAGGCGGGUGGAAUUCGUGGUGUAGCGGUGAAAUGCAUAGAUAUCACGAGGAACGCCGAUAGCGAAGGCAGCUCGCCGGGCCGCGAUCGACGCUGAGGCACGAAAGCGUGGGGAUCAAACA
rnacentral:rRNA from 1 species